rnacentral:tmRNA from 1 species
GGGGUUGUUACGGAUUCGACAGGCAUUAUGAGACAUAUUUUGCGACUCAUCGGCAGAUGUAAAAGUGCCAGUUAAAUAUAACUGCAAAAAAUACAAACACUUACGCAUUAGCUGCCUAAAAACCAGCUAGCGUGACGCUUACAAAAUUGCUUGUGUUUUGCUAAGCGUCUUAAAUCAGCAAGCUACGGUUAAGGAAUUGUCUAGUUUCUUAACAAGAGAUUGAUAGACUCGCACGUGGUUGAUUUGAGUUAUGUGUCCACCUCGUUGUUAAACUAAGGCAUAACCUAUGGUUGUAGACAAAUAUGUUGGCAGAUGUUUGGACGUGGGUUCGACUCCCACCAGCUCCAUCA